AAAAGGGGGAAAGACUUCUCAGAAAAGGUUUAGAUUGUGAGAAUACAGUCCAGGAUCAUGAGGUGGGCAUAGGGAGAAGAAAGCAUGCAACUUAUGUUUAUGACUUGAUUACAAACGUUUAAUUCUGGACACUCUAGCUGGACGCUGAACACAGACUCCAACAAAAGGCUGGCAAAAGGGACUCGAUGCCUGACAGAGCUAAGCGGGGGCAGUAAGAAGUCAUUGCUACUCUGGGAGCAAGAAACCAUCGCUUCCAAGUCAUUUUUAGUUAGGAGUUUGAAAUCAAAACGUUUUAUGAGCUCAGAAAAAAGAAGGCGACUAGGUGAAGCAAUCUAUGUGCUGACUAGCUUAAUUGUGGUAACCAUAUGACUAUAUAUGUAUAUCAAAUCAUCAUAUUUUACACUUUAAAUGUAUACAGUUGUAUUUGUCAACUAUACUUCAAUAAAGCUGGAAAGAAAAAAAAAAGAAAAGA